GAUGAACGCUGGCGGCGUGCCUAAUACAUGCAAGUCGAGCGAACGGACGAGAAGCUUGCUUCUCUGAUGUUAGCGGCGGACGGGUGAGUAACACGUGGAUAACCUACCUAUAAGACUGGGAUAACUUCGGGAAACCGGAGCUAAUACCGGAUAAUAUUUUGAACCGCAUGGUUCAAAAGUGAAAGACGGUCUUGCUGUCACUUAUAGAUGGAUCCGCGCUGCAUUAGCUAGUUGGUAAGGUAACGGCUUACCAAGGCAACGAUGCAUAGCCGACCUGAGAGGGUGAUCGGCCACACUGGAACUGAGACACGGUCCAGACUCCUACGGGAGGCAGCAGUAGGGAAUCUUCCGCAAUGGGCGAAAGCCUGACGGAGCAACGCCGCGUGAGUGAUGAAGGUAUUCGGAUCGUAAAACUCCGUUAUUAGGGAAGAACAUAUGUGUAAGUAACUGUGCACAUCUUGACGGUACCUAAUCAGAAAGCCACGGCUAACUACGUG
rnacentral:rRNA from 1 species